rnacentral:lncRNA from 1 species
UCGGAAUGUAAUUGUAGGGUAUAUACAUUUCGAUGAAUAUGUAAUAAUUUCAAUUACAUGCACGUAACAAAAGAAUGUCAAGACAUGUAAUGCUUGGAUGACCCCUGGAAUAAGUAUUGGAUUCUUCCAAUACCAUAACAACAACUUUGAGUUUCGUUUAAAUAAUUUAGUGCAGAACUUUAGCUGUAGUGACAAUCAAUUGCCAUUCCAUGUUCCAAGCAUUUUACUUGCAGACUUAACACAUUCUGAUACCUCCAAUGCCCUUGUCUUACCAAGGCAUCUAGUAAACUAGAAAUGAACAAGUCACCGAUAGCGAUAGCGGAACGGUAUCGCGACAGAGCACAUAUGAACAUGGAAACAUUGGAUAGUUGAAAUGUUAAAAACCAAAACUAGAAAAGAAGAAAAAGGCACAGAAAUCGUUAGCCUGAAUCAUGAAUAAUCUAGCUAAACAAGAAAUUACCAAAUGAUGAGAACUGAUUUCCUACACUAGUUAAUUUUUUGUGGAAAUCAGUGCUGAUCACAAAACGUAUAAGAAAAAUAUAUGUACAUAUGGGAUAUAAAAAGGAAAACACAUUUGCUUUACUCAUACCUAAAAGAUACAUAAUAGCAAUUUAAAAUAUCAGACGUGCCAUGGCAUGUUAACAAGGAAAUGCCUCAAAAGCAUGGUACUAACAUUGCAAUACGAGAUAAUAACAUAUCAUGUUUCUAACUGUUAGGAUUAUCGGCCCAAAACUCACAAGCAAUCGUAAAAAUAGUAAAAAUAAAUCAAGAACAGAAAUCGAACACAAGAAUUGUUCACCCAGUUCAACCAAACACGGCCUAAUCUGGGGGGCUCAGAAGUAAGCCCGUCACUAACAAAAAACCAUCAAGAGAGUGUAUAACCAUUUGAGAAAACCAAAGCAAACCCACUAUAUGGUCAUCAAUCCACAAGGAUCUCUCAAUAACUUGAACCCUAGCCCACAAGACUAGACAGAACCUUGUCAAGAACAAAAUACAGGUUUACCAACCACAAAUAAGGCCUAAAACACUGUACCAACGUUCUACCAUCAUUAGAUAACUACAAGAUUAUUAUAAAGAUCACCAAAGUUCUUCAGAUCUAAAAAGAAAAGAAGAAGCAGAUGAGAGAGAGAGCUAGAGAGAGAGAUAACCAAAAAGACAAUUUCUUUAAAAGAGAAAGUGACUGACUGCUCCUUUUCCCAACCCUCAAAAGGCAUUACUUAUUGAAGACUAAAUCUCAGUCAUAGGAUUAAAUCAACGGUCCACAAUAGCCAAGAGAAAGCACAACUCGUGUGACCAUUUGUAAGCCAAUGCCAAACUGCCAAC